rnacentral:tRNA from 1 species
GAAUGUGUGGCUCAUUGGAAGAGCACUUGCUUGGCAUGUCUGAGGCUCUGGGUUUGAUUCCCGGCACUGACA